AUGGGCUGGAGAGAUGGCUCAGUGGUUAAG
rnacentral:piRNA from 1 species